AUAUAAUAAGUCCUGCCUGCCCAGUGAUUUUUUCAACGGCCAUCUUUGAUGAUAACGUAGCAUAAUCAAUUGUCUAUUAAUUGUAGACUAGAAUGAAUGGAUUAACGAAAGCCGAACUGUCUCCUGAUUCCUAUCAAUGAAAUUAACCUCUCUGUCCAAAGGCAGAGAUCAGCCUAUAAGACGAAAAGACCCUAAAAGCUUCAAAUAUUAGAUUAAUCUACCUUAAACAACAACUAAAGAAAAGUUUUAAUUCUUAAAAUUUGGUUGGGGCAACCAUUGAUAUUAAAAAAUCAUCAAUAAUUUAACUAAAAGCCUAUAUAAUAUCAGAGUUACACCUCGAUUAAAUAAGAAACUUAUAAAAAUGAUCCAGAAAACUGAUCAAUGAACAAGUUACUUUAGGGAUAACAGCGCUAUUUCUUUUUAAAGUUCCCAUCGACAAAGAAGCUUACGACCUCGAUGUUGGAUUAAGAUAUCCAAGUGGUGCAAAAGCUACUAAGGGUUUCGUUUGUUCAACGAAUAAUAUCUUACGUGAUCG
rnacentral:rRNA from 1 species